GACGAACGCUGGCGGCGUGCUUCACACAUGCAAGUCGAACGAAGUGGCGAACGGGUGAGUAAUACGUGGGUAACCUGCCCUGCUUUUUGGGAUAAGCCUUGGAAACGGGGUCUAAUACCGAAUAAAGGGGGAUGGGCUCGCGGCCUAUCAGCUUGUUGGUGGGGUGAUGGCCUACCAAGGCGGUGACGGGUAGCCGGCCGGAGAGGGUGAGCGGCGACAAUGGGACUGAGUUACGGCCCAGAUUCCUACGGGAUGCUGCAGUGGGGGAUAUUGCACAAUGGGCGAAAGCCCGAUGCAGCGACGCCGCGUGGGGGAUGAAGGCUUUCGGGUUGUAAACCUUUUACGCUAUCGAACGGGUAGGCGAAGAAGAAGCGCCGGCUAACUACGUGCCAGCAGCCGCGGUAAUUA
rnacentral:rRNA from 1 species